UUAAUUAUUUCAUGACCUUUCCGAGCUCCGUUUCUUGAUUUUCAAGUUGUGUUACGAUCGAGCAAGCUCAUAGUACAUCUCGGGUAAGUUUCAGAAUUUCUUGGAUAGCGUAAGUGGGUUUUUGGAUCUUCAAACCAGUAGCAAAAGGCUAUAAGCCUGUGCAGCCUCUCUUAGACCACCGGUUUACGCAGGGCGCUGCCCAGGCUAGACUUGGGGUCUAAGCAGGGUGCCUCCCAGGCUAGACCGGGGGUCCAAGUAGGCUGCCACCCUGGGUAUAGCCCUGGGCCAAAAAUCAGCCUUUAGCUCCGACCUUUGAAGGGUAAAAUUGUAAUCUUCCAACCCUUUAUAUACCCCUUUAACACGAAAUUCAGCAUAUUUACACCCAAAUAUUGUUGGUUUCUCCCAAAAUUCUUCAAGAACAACCAUUAGGGUUUAUAGUCCAAGAAUCAAGUUCAAGAAUUCCUCUGUCAAGUCUCUCCAAAUCAAGAAACUAAGCUAAGUUGGUGGACUCUUCACUUUCGCUGACACACGUGUGUCGGAUUCUCCAAAAAUACACUACUUUUGGAGAAUCCUACAUGUGCCCGUUGACAUGAUAAGUAGCAAGGUGAAAAAGAACAAUAACAUAUCCAGAGUAAUACGCAAGUAGGAUCUUGGAGGUAAGAUGUGAUUAUAUGGCGUUAAAGCAGGACAAAUAGUGAGGUAAACAAUUUAUACAGCGCUCCUAAUUUUUAUGCUUUCAGACAAGCUAACUGAUUUUUUUCAGCUGAGUCACGAGAACUGAUCAUAGUAAUAUAUCUGUAAGAUAGGAUAAAUAUCGAGCUAAAGAAAAAAGAAUUCUUACGAAGGUACAUGAGAUCAACAUAGAAGGAGCAUGACCAUACUUAUUUGAGGUGACAAAGUGCCUACUGUUUGAACCAAAAAAAUCCUUAAUAUGGUACAUGAUAGUGGUCACAUAUAUACUGCAUGACAUUAUAAAGGUAAAGGAUGAAUGGUGGUGAAUACCCCACAAAUUUUUAUGUUAAUAUUUAACAAUUGAAUGAAUUUUUCAUGUGUUUCUCCCACAAAUGAUCACCUCUAUAUUUUUCUCAGAGAUGCACCUGAAGCCAUACUACAAAGAUCAUUUGGUGGAAGCCAUCAAAGAUGCAUUCCGAAGUCAAAUUCACUGCAUGAUCUUCUGAAAUCUAAAGAUAUCUGACGGCAUCUACUUAUUUUUCGAGCUUGAGCUCAUCCUGAUGGACAAAGCUUUUGCAAAUAAUAUCAAAAUACAAAGAAAUAGAAAAGCAGUGAGAGAGUGAGAAGAACCUACCUGGUGGCUGGACGUAAAAAAGAGCAAGCUGAAAAGUAGAAGCAACAACACGGUCAUGCUCACGGACAUAUUAUCUAUGCUAUGGACUACGGAGUAUCUAAACAACACUGACUUGGAAUACAAUAAGGAUAUAUUUUAUUGUAAAACAGUGAAUCUGCUGAACAGAUCCUCGGACUUAAUUGGAAUGCUUCAGAGAGUUGGAACGAAUAACUCUUGCUUGUGGCAUCCACACCAAG